rnacentral:snRNA from 1 species
GAAUGUGAGGGCAAUCUGGCUGCAACAUCUGUCACCUCAUUGGUUGCCAGGGUUGAUUUGGCUGAUCUGACUGGCUAGGCGGAUGUCCCCUUCCUCCCUCACUGCUCCCUGUGCGUCGCUCCAGAAGCUGCACGCUCAGUCGAAGAGGACGACCUUCCCCGAAUAGGGAGGAUUGGUCUUCGGUCAAGGGUAUACAAAUAGCUACGCUCCCCUGCUGGAACCUCCAAACAAGCUCUCAAGGUCCAUUUGUAGGAGAACGUAGGGUGUUCAAGCUUCCAAAUGAGGCGCUGCGUGUGGCGGUCUGCCUUUCUGU